AUGUCCUGAACGCUUAAUUCUUUACCCGAAAGAAGCGGAGGACCCAUUUCCUGGGGUGAAUCCCCCUGGAGAGGAGGCGUGAUAGUGCGCCCGUUUUCCCGGGGGUAGGGUUAUCCUUUCAACCCGAACCCGACAGCUAACUUCGUAAGCGUGGAAGGGAGGACAU
rnacentral:sRNA from 2 species